GUUAGGAAUAUUGGACAAUGGGCGCAAGCCUGAUCCAGCCAUGCCGCGUGAGUGAUGAAGGCCUUCGGGUUGUAAAGCUCUUUAGUCCACGAAUAUAAUGACUGUAGUGGAAGAAUAAGCCCCGGCUAACUUCGUGCCAGCAGCCGCGGUAAUACGAAGGGGGCGAGCGUUAUUCGGAAUCACUGGGCGUAAAGCGUGCGUAGGCUGUUUUGUAAGUCAGAAGUGAAAGCCCAGGGCUUAACCCUGGAAUUGCUUUUGAAACUACAAGACUCGAAUUCGGGAGAGGAUAGCGGAAUUGUCAGUGUAGCAGUGAAAUGCGUAGAUAUUGACAGGAACACCAGUGGCGCAAGCGGCUAUCUGGACCGAUAUUGACGCUGAGGCACGAAAGCGUGGGGAUCAAACAGGAUUAGAUACCCGGGUAGUCC
rnacentral:rRNA from 1 species